UUAGCAGCGCUCUUAAUAGUCAUUGUGGCGGUCAUCAGAUGGAAGAAAACUAAAGGGGACCGACCACGUGUGGAUGACAGGAUCGAACAGGGCCAUAACCCCGCAGUGACUCAGCCAGGUCCAGAAAACACGGCGGAUCGUGAAGAGGAUGUUUCCUACGCCUCCGUCAGCUACAGCAAGAACACCAGCAGCAAGAACACCAGCAGCAAAGCCCAGGGUCAGAGUAAGGAAGAUGAUGAAGAAGAUGAUUUAGUGACCUACAGCACGGUGAAAGCUCCUUCUUCUUCUUCUGCUGAGCCCUCCGCUGAUCCCAGUAGCCUCUACGCUACCGUCAACAAACCAACAAAAGAAGCG